CGAAAGAUUGACCCAGUUACUUAUUAGGAUGAUAUAUAAAAAUAUAAUAAAUAUAAUUUUUAUUAAAUAAAAUUAUAUAAAUUGAUUAAAAAUAAAGUCCAUAAAUAGUGAAAAUAAUGAUAUUAGCUACCAUAAUAAAUAAUGGAUAAAAUAUUAAUUUUAUUUUAAUAGUCCUAACCAAAAUUUGUGCCAGCAGCUGCGGUAAGACAAUGGGGGCUAGCGUUAAUCAUAAUGGCUUAAAGGGUCCGUAGAAUGAAAUAAUAAUUAGAGUUAAUAAAUUUAAUUAAAGAAUUAUAAUAGUAAGGAUGAAAUGAUAAUAAUCAUUAUAAGACUGGUAUGUGUGAAGGUAUUAAUUAAAUAUUAACUGACAUUGAGGGACGAAAGCUAGAGUAGCAAUACGGAUUCGAUACCCGAGUAGUUCUAGCUGUAAACUAUGAACACCAUUUAUAAUAAAAAAUAAAUAAAUGAAAAUGAAAGUGUUCCGCCUGAAGAGUACGUUCGCAAGAAUGAAACUCAAGACAAUAGACGGUUACAGACUUAAGCAGUGGAGCAU
rnacentral:rRNA from 1 species